rnacentral:lncRNA from 1 species
GGGGGAGGGGAAGUGGGAUUUGAUUGAACUUUCAAGGGGCAUUGGUGCAAUUAAGCCUUCUUAUAAAAAGAUGCCAUAUCGCACAUGUUUAGGUAGGGAUGACAAUUUCCUACACGACUCGAAACCCGUACGGAAAAAACACACACAAGGGGUUUCGAACUCCAACCAACCUCAUUUCUCUCCAACACCUUAUCCACCAUACUACACACAAUCUUGUGAUUAUAUACCAUGACUUUUGAUAUUUAUAAUGCUUUUUUUCUUUCUUUUCCUUCUUUCUUCUCCUCUCUCUUUUUUUCUUUCUUUUCCUUCUCUCUUCUGUCCUCUCUAUUUUUCUUUCUUUCUUUUCCUUCUCUUUAGUUUUCUCUCCUCUUUUUUUUUAUUUUUUUAUUUCUUUCCUUCUCUCUCUCUCUCUCUCUUCUUUCUUUUCCUUAUAUUUUCUCUCCUCUCUCCGUGUUUUUUAUUAAAAUUUUUUCAAUUGUGAGUUUUGUAACAUGCAUAUUAUUAUUUAUGAACCCAUUACACAACUCGAAACCCGCACGAUAAAAGACGACCCAAACCCAACACGACACGUUUAUUAAAUGGAUUGAGUUCGAGUUGAGCAUUCUUUACACAUUUAUUAUCCCGACACAACACGACCCAUUGCCAGCCCUAUAUUUACGUAGAGAAAAUUAUUAUAUUAGCUGGAGCUAGAUAUCGUGCUCUUGCACUCUCUUUGGAAACAUACAUCUGGUAGAUGGUUUUGUCAAGUUUUUUGGCCAACCCUAAAAAUAAUGGUUUUCUUUAGAGUGAGCAUCUGGAUUCAAGUCUUCACGAUGGCCAUGUGUGAGUUCCCC